rnacentral:rRNA from 1 species
CACUCCUACGGGAGGCAGCAGUGGGGAAUUUUGGACAAUGGGCGAAAGCCUGAUCCAGCAAUGCCGCGUGCAGGAUGAAGGCCUUCGGGUUGUAAACUGCUUUUGUACGGAACGAAAAAGCUCCUUCUAAUACAGGGGGCCCAUGACGGUACCGUAAGAAUAAGCACCGGCUAACUACGUGCCAGCAGCCGCGGUAAUACGUAGGGUGCGAGCGUUAAUCGGAAUUACUGGGCGUAAAGCGUGCGCAGGCGGUUAUGUAAGACAGAUGUGAAAUCCCCGGGCUCAACCUGGGAACUGCAUUUGUGACUGCAUGGCUAGAGUACGGUAGAGGGGGAUGGAAUUCCGCGUGUAGCAGUGAAAUGCGUAGAUAUGCGGAGGAACACCGAUGGCGAAAGCAAUCCCCUGGACCUGUACUGACGCUCAUGCACGAAAGCGUGGGGAGCAAACAGGAUUAGAUACCCUAGUAGUCCC